rnacentral:misc_RNA from 1 species
AUCAGGUUACGCAGCCCAUACAGGUAAGGGUACCGAUAAUUUUGUUCUUUUAUUUCUAUUUGAUAUAUUUUCAUCUUGUGGAGCUAGGAUUUAUAUAUUUAGUUUGGUAAGUGAUUUUGAAAAUACUCAUUUGAUCUUUCAGCAUAGGGAGUUCAUCUAAUUGAUAAGACAAGUUGAUUAAUAUCAAAUUUAGUACUUCGGAUGCUUUAUUUCAACGUGAACUACUUCCUUUAUGUUUGUUAUGAUUAAAGUUUUAGAAAGUUUGAUAUUGUAUGUUAACGUACAAGCUGACUGGCUGAAACAUGUAGGCAGUUUUGUAUGUGUAUCAGUAAUUCAGUAUAUGCCUAUUUAUAUACUUUCUCAUGUUUUAUUCAACUACGUGGCAUUGAGAUUCUAUAGAUUUCUGUUUGGUUGAGUUCAGUAAGGUAAUACCAGGUCUUUUCCUGGUGUUGAUGCUUGGGAGGCAUGUAUAUUCUUCUGAAGUUCUAUUGGAUUUUAGUGUGUGGUAUGGAGGGAGAAGAGCAAAAGGAUCAGUGGAGGCUUAAUCACACAGGCCUAAUGUGUUUUUCAGCCUGGAUGGUAUUUGUGAGCCUGUUUCUGGAUUGCUAUGUUAUGGAAACGAAACUAUUUCUGUUACUUGACUUGCCAUAGUUCAGGCAAUUAAGGGUUCAAAUUCAAACCUUUGCUUCCCAUCUUUCUCCCUCCCUUGAACCAAAAAAUAAGCCCUCAAAUUGGGAUUUGUUUCAACAACUAUAUCAUUUCAGUUACUACCUGGCAUUUCAAUAAACUCUUCAUUUAAAUCAUGAAAUGGCGUUUCGUAUAACAUGCGGUCAUAUUAUUCAUAUAAUUGAGUAAACUUUAAUUGUUUUAAAUGCUAAAGUUCUACAAAUGUAGGAUGUCAAUUAGUUGAUGAACCUCUUUUUCCACGAACUAUAUCUGAAAUAGCAAAAUUUUUUUUUUCCAUCUUUCAUACUGUUUAAUGGUGAAGUCCAUUUUCCUUCAGUUUUGUCCUAACUAGCACCAUAAUAUUGAGAUUGAAUUGAGUAACUUGUACUAUGAUUUUGAGCUUUUAGCAUGUGAUAUGUGAGUGUUCCUUUCCCAUUACUCAUCUAUUCAUUUUGUAGCACUGCAUUAUCUAAAUAAUUGGACUUCUGAUGUCAUUAGUUUAAUAAAUAGCUGGUUUUCAAGCUGAAUAAUGGAGGAAUGUUUCAUUCUUUCAUUCCAUAAUAAUAAUUGAUGUAAAUGGAAUGUAAAGAUAUUGGAUUCACAAAACGAGGGAGCACAGGUCCUAUGGUGUCUGCAUGGAUUUUUUCACAAUUAGUAUUUUUUUUUAAGCAGAGGUUAAAAACCCAUGUCUUGUGCAUGUAAUUUUAUUACCAUAUUCACAGGUUGUUCUGGUAGAUUAAAGUGGGGGAUAAUCACUUGGUUUACUUACAGUUGCAGUGUCAAGAUAUUUUCUAUUUUCCUUGUUUUGGGAGAUUGAGAUUCAAAUACCUUUUUGCUGUUGUAUUUUUCUGCUGCAGAAAGCAAGGAGCUCAAGAACAUUCAAGUUUAGGGACUCAAGAAAUUAGAAUUAUGGUCUAGAUUUCGUACGGGGCUUGUUUGGGAUAUUAUUGAAUAUUUUUCAUUUAUAUAAUAUUGUAUCUACGCUCACUUAAAUUAAUUAGCUGCUGGUACAGAAUAUAUGGCAUUAGGAUUCAAGUGUAAAUUUCGAGUUUUGAUUUGGAAAAAAUCAAUCCUCCUAGUUCUUUUUGGAAAUCCAAAUCCUUACCAAACACACACACAUACACACAAAAGUAGACUGUUUUGCCCAGUUAAGACUUAAGAUAAGUAAGUACCCUAUAAAUGAUACUUCUGGCCAGAAGGAAUCCAUAAUUGCUUUUUAUCGUCUCUUGCACCUUCACAGACUGUCAUACAUAGCUGGUUCUUUUAUCUGAAAAGCCUUUAAUAUUCAAAAUUAUUCCAUUUUUCCACCUCCAUAAUGCAUCUUGUUACCUUUUCAAUUCAGGCUAAUAAUGGUGACUAUCCUAAUAAUGGUGAGAGCUUUAUGUCAAAGUGAGGCACUAUAGUCCUGUAUAACUUGGUUUCUUUUAAUAUUUGACAUUUCUGCUAUGUUGGGUAAGUGAAGCUACUGGAAUUCCGUUAUUUCAAAUUUUUCAUCAUCUUGAUGCAAGAAAUAUUGUCGUGUGUAUUUUAUCACUUUAUUGAAUGAUUGAAUAGCUUUUGUGCACUUCUCUAACCAGUAUACUGUAAGGGGCUUCUUGUCAUGCUUCACAGUUUGGUUAUGUUAAGAACCAUUUCUCAGUUGAAUACUUCUAAAUCUUACAUGACAUUCAUCAGGGCUAUGGACAAUGCCCCUGUGUUAUCUCGUGAGACAGUUGCAUAUGAAUUUGAAUUUGACUGUGGUGUUUUCCAAAUGCAUUGUUUAAAAUCAAGAUGCAAAUAUUAAAUUCCGUUAGGAUAAGCUCAAAUUUAUUGUAAGCAUUUCUUUGGUUCAUAGAAUUGGGUGAGGACAUCUAGGUGAUGUGUAAGCCGUUGUUUACCUAGCGGGAUCAAUACUGUUGUAUGGUACUCUGGGAAAUCAAAUAUUGUUCCAAUAACAAAUAUCUCAUUUUACCUGCAUAAAUAUGCAUAUUAACUUUUUGAUAGCUAGCAUGGCCUACAUAUUACCAUUUAGAUAAUCAGUUUAUUGAUGUAAUCUAAAGAUUAUUUUUCUUAUGAAAGUUGUAUGCAAUAUAUUCAGAAUGAUAUUAACAUGUAAUUGUACAUUAUAGGCACAGUUUUAUGUUAAAUAUGGACUUACUAUGGCCAUCUUUUUCCAGGAGAACCAUGCAAGACCAGAG